GCCCAGCUCGCUACGCAUAACUAGAGCCUUUUGUCGUUUAACAAUACCUAACACAUGCGGUUAAACCUGUAUUACUGGUUAUUUGUAGGAGUUUCAUAUUGCGAGAGUAGUCUGUUAAAGCGUAGGAGCAGGAAACUUCACUUCACUUAAGAUAAGAAUACCUCACAUGAAGGAUUUACAGAGAGAGACACAUGUUGUACAUAUUAGGGAGAAAUGCUUUGAUGCGCAGAAAUAAAGGUGGAAAUCCUCAAAAUCCUGAACACAAGGAAGCCAACAAGAAAAAGUUAACUGAACAAGACUAUCACUUGUUGGCCAAAGUCCUGUCAGUUGGAUUGGUAGACGCAGACCCCAAUUAUCUUCAACACCUCAAGGACUACAGGGACCUGCGUGGUAGCACUUCCUGAAGGAUCCACACAAGGAAAUGCACCAGGAAAUGUACGGCACAGUUAUUUCUGGAGCCAAUCACAUUUGGUACCCUGGAAAAUAUUUAUUUCUACGCAAGUUCAAGCUAUAUCAAAAAACAUUAACAGACAAUGUGAGAAUGAAGAAGGAUCCACUCAUGGGCCCACAGUUGUCAUUGGAGUGAUGUGUUGCCCUUUUAUUUAUUCGUUAAUUAUUGAAUAAUGAAAUGAUUAGUUAUAAAACUGUGCAUAUUAGUCUUUGCCCCAUGGCAAAAUGGGUAGAAUUGUAGGAAUUUAGCUGCUUCCCCCCCAAAAAAACUGUGGUUUAGCUCACAUACUGUUCAUGAUUUCCACUUAACAGAUAUGUACGAUAUAAAAGUGUUCAUACAGCUUUUGGAAACAUAAUGAUAUUCCAAUCUCAAGACAAAAAGUUAAAACACUUGUUAAGAUAUUUUAUCACCUCGUGUAUACUCUCAUAUUCUCAUUUGGUCAAGUUGUAGCCAGAGAAUUAGAAAGUGGAAAAUUAUUGUUUUGAAAAUGUGAUAACUUCCUGGUAGGAAAGGACUAAACCGAUCAACUGAGUUCUAUUUUUCAAGUGUGAUAUGUCGAUUACAUUUAUUUUAAAAAGAACAACUCUAUCUUCAUGAAACACAAACAUCAUACGUUUAAGUAAUUUCAAUCUCUUUAAAUACUUUUGGUAGAGUAUCAUAUCACUGUUUUCCCACAAUAUCUUACAGACAGAUUUCUUAGUUAGAAACUAUGUUGUCAGAGGACAGUACAUAUCCCAAGACCCUGUGUGCUAUAUCCAUUCAUACACAUACAGUAUUUCUUGAGGUAUGUUGGGGAAAUCAGAGUGACAACAAUGUAUCAGGCCCCGGUGGUUUGAAAGAGGAACAUGGGCUGAAUUCACAAAAGGUUGAUGGCACCUUAAUUGGGGAAGACGGGCCCGUGGUAAUGGCUGGAGCGGAAUAAUUUGAAUGGUAUCAAUCACAUGGUUUGAUGCCAUUCCAUUUACACCAUUUCAUACAUGAUUAUGAGUCGUUCUCCCCUCAGCAGCAUCCACUGGAGUUUCAUUUCCUUUUAGUAACCGUCCUAAAGUAAUAAGAGAGGUUAUUAUAACAUUAGCACGGCAUUUCUACUUCUGACUUCAUGGCUCUAGCCUGCUGAGGUCACUCCCCAGAUGCAGUUGUUCAGGGUGUGUCUCAGAAGGUCAACAUUUUCACCACCGUUAUGUUGAAGAGGAAUAACCCCAACACACCAGAGGUGCUAAGGAGCCUGAGGAGAGGAUACACCCAAAGACCUUCCGCCAAGUAGAUACAUAUCACCCUACAGAACAAGAGAUGGAGAAUGGAGGUGCAUCAGUGAAACAACAUACAGAACAAUGUCUGAUUCUUAUUGUCAAUAUAUCGUAUGUGUAGUGGGUCAGCAUGCAUUUCAAAUCAGAAUUAUAACUCAAUGAUCAAAUUACUUUGGAAUGGGGAUUAAAACUUCAAUCACAUGAUCAAUAACAUUUCUUCUUCUUCGUUUGGGUUUUAUGGCGGUGAAGGAGGAUGUGAUCUGUAGUUUCUGCUGCUGGACAGUUAGGACUUGAACCUGUGUUGUGUUUUCCUAUCUUUUGGACAGAGUGAUUGAGGCCAUUGUGUUCUAUAUGCAGACGGGUGAUUAUGGUUUCUGAUUGUCUUGAGAGUAUUUUGUGGUUAUUGUAGAUUGGGUGGAUGGAGUAUAGAUGCCCUCCUUUUCCCCUUCUGUCCAUUCCUUUUUGCCAUUUGUCUGUGAUUUUGAUUCUAAUGAGUGACUUUAUUUCAGAUUUUGACAUUGGAACUAUGACGUUGAUGACGUCAUGUAGUGCUCCUUAUGCCGCUGUCAUUCCCAGGCACCCCCAUGUGAGCCGGGACCUAAAGAAAGUUGACUGUAAUGGCUUGGUGUUGCAUCCUAAGAGGUGCCUGUAAGAUUUUGAAUACUAGGUCUGGCCUGCUGUGGGUGUUUCCUCAGUCCAGUGUUUGUAGGACUGAGGUAGAGUCUGUACAGAUGAGAUGCUAUAAGUUCGGAGGUGAAUACUGAAAGGUUAUUUGUUUGUCUUUUUUUCUGAGUGAACUGUAUGUCUGGGAUAGAGAAGGCUGCUGAGACGUGUCCUGUCACCGGAUUAUUGGAGCCAUCAGUGUAAAUGUGUGUUGCAAAGUUGUAUUGUGACCUUACAUACCCUGCUGUCAGCAGUCCUACCACCCCUUUAUCCUCUCCUUCCC
rnacentral:lncRNA from 1 species